UACGUAGGGAGCAAGCGUUGUUCGGAUUUACUGGGCGUAAAGGGCGCGUAGGCGGCAUAUUAAGUCAUCUGUGAAAUCUCCGAGCUUAACUCGGAACUGUCAGCUGAUACUGAUGUGCUAGAGUGCGGAAGGGGCAAUCGGAAUUCUUGGUGUAGCGGUGAAAUGCGUAGAUAUCAAGAGGAACACCUGAGGUGAAGACGGGUUGCUGGGCCGUAACUGACGCUGAGGAGCGAAAGCGUGGGGAGCGAACAGG
rnacentral:rRNA from 1 species